GAUGAACGCUAGCUACAGGCUUAACACAUGCAAGUCGAGGGGCAGCAUGGUCUUAGCUUGCUAAGGCCGAUGGCGACCGGCGCACGGGUGAGUAACACGUAUCCAACCUGCCGUCUACUCUUGGACAGCCUUCUGAAAGGAAGAUUAAUACAAGAUGGCAUCAUGAGUCCACAUGUUCACAUGAUUAAAGGUAUUCCGGUAGACGAUGGGGAUGCGUUCCAUUAGAUAGUAGGCGGGGUAACGGCCCACCUAGUCUUCGAUGGAUAGGGGUUCUGAGAGGAAGGUCCCCCACAUUGGAACUGAGACACGGUCCAAACUCCUACGGGAGGCAGCAGUGAGGAAUAUUGGUCAAUGGGCGAGAGCCUGAACCAGCCAAGUAGCGUGAAGGAUGACUGCCCUAUGGGUUGUAAACUUCUUUUAUAAAGGAAUAAAGUCGGGUAUGGAUACCCGUUUGCAUGUACUUUAUGAAUAAGGAUCGGCUAACUCCGUGCCAGCAGCCGCGGUAAUACGGAGGAUCCGAGCGUUAUCCGGAUUUAUUGGGUUUAAAGGGAGCGUAGAUGGAUGUUUAAGUCAGUUGUGAAAGUUUGCGGCUCAACCGUAAAAUUGCAGUUGAUACUGGAUAUCUUGAGUGCAGUUGAGGCAGGCGGAAUUCGUGGUGUAGCGGUGAAAUGCUUAGAUAUCACGAAGAACUCCGAUUGCGAAGGCAGCCUGCUAAGCUGCAACUGACAUUGAGGCUCGAAAGUGUGGGUAUCAAACAGGAUUAGAUACCCUGGUAGUCCACACGGUAAACGAUGAAUACUCGCUGUUUGCGAUAUACAGCAAGCGGCCAAGCGAAAGCGUUAAGUAUUCCACCUGGGGAGUACGCCGGCAACGGUGAAACUCAAAGGAAUUGACGGGGGCCCGCACAGGCGGAGGAACAUGUGGUUUAAUUCGAUGAUACGCGAGGAACCUUACCCGGGCUUAAAUUGCAGAUGAAUUACGGUGAAAGCCGUAAGCCGCAAGGCAUCUGUGAAGGUGCUGCAUGGUUGUCGUCAGCUCGUGCCGUGAGGUGUCGGCUUAAGUGCCAUAACGAGCGCAACCCUUGUUGUCAGUUACUAACAGGUUCCGCUGAGGACUCUGACAAGACUGCCAUCGUAAGAUGUGAGGAAGGUGGGGAUGACGUCAAAUCAGCACGGCCCUUACGUCCGGGGCUACACACGUGUUACAAUGGGGGGUACAGAGGGCCGCUACCACGCGAGUGGAUGCCAAUCCCAAAAACCUCUCUCAGUUCGGACUGGAGUCUGCAACCCGACUCCACGAAGCUGGAUUCGCUAGUAAUCGCGCAUCAGCCACGGCGCGGUGAAUACGUUCCCGGGCCU
rnacentral:rRNA from 1 species